rnacentral:rRNA from 1 species
UACGUAGGUGACCAGCGUUGUCCGGAUUUACUGGGCGUAAAGCGCGUUCAGGCGGUUUGGCAAGUCGGGCAUGAAAUCUCUCGGCUCAACCGGGAGAGGUUGUCCGAUACUUCCAGACUUGAGGGCAGUAGAGGGUGGUGGAAUUCCGGGUGUAGUGGUGAAAUGCGUAGAUAUCCGGAGGAACACCAGUGGCGAAAGCGGCCACCUGGACUGCACCUGACGCUGACACGCGAAAGCUAGGGGAGCGAACGGG